rnacentral:rRNA from 1 species
UACGUAGGGGGCAAGCGUUGUCCGGAUUUAUUGGGCGUAAAGAGCGUGUAGGCGGCUUGACAAGUCUGCUGUGAAAACUCGAGGCUCAACCUCGAGCUGUCGGCGGAAACUGUCAGGCUAGAGUCCGGAAGAGGAGAGUGGAAUUCCUGGUGUAGCGGUGAAAUGCGCAGAUAUCUGGAGGAACACCAAAGGCGAAGGCAGUGUCCUGGGGAGCAUCUGACGCUCAGGUGCGAAAGCUAGGGGAGCGAACGGG